rnacentral:tRNA from 1 species
GCACUCUUGGCCGAGCGGUUUAGGCAAUCGACUCAUAAUCGAUCCUAGGUAGGUUCAACUCCUACAGAGUGCA